UCCUUCGCUCUGGGAGCUUCCAUGUGGACCGAGGCAGGAGGAGGAGAGAGCGAGGAAGAGGAGGAUACAGACAGCAACACCAAGGAGACCAGGAGUGCGGGAGGAGGGAAAGUAACUGAUGGAGAGAAAGCAAGAGAGAGAGAGAGAUGGAGUGAGCGGCUCUGAGCAACACUGAGAGCUCAGGAGGGAGGGAAGAUGCCAGACAAAAUAUAUGAAGUCGGGAAGAAAAUACCUGAACGCAAUUAAAAAUGGGACUGAAGAGAUUCUGAAACCAAGUGAGUCUGAAACAGGAGACAUUGAAGACUAAUUCAGGAAGUCUUCCGGACGUUGAUUGUGAAUACUGUGAUUCCCUUGGACGAUUUGUCAGAUGGGAUUUCAAUAUUUAAAGCCGGAGCAAAAUGGUACUCUCUCCUCCCAUCGUCCUUCCUGCUCUCUUCUGAAACUAACUGCAUGGCUUUUUGGCCCCUGACCUUUGAACUUGUCCUGUUCUUCCUUUUACUUGAUUUGCUUUCCAGUUGAAAGAGGACCGGUCUUCCAUUCUUGGACCAGGACGUCCAGUUAGCCUUUGCAAUACAGACGACGUCUACGUAACUCUUUGAGACAGACUCUGAAACUGAUUUUCACAGGGAACUUGCAUUGGACAUGCAGCUGGACAACACUUCCAUCGGCAGACGAGGACAGCAGGACCGUCAAACUCAGUUGCAGUAAAAGAUUAAUGAACCUAGGCAUGUUUCAUGUUCACUCUAUUCACAGCAAAAAUAACACCACCGUCAACCAGAUUCAUCACUCGGCACUUCCAACAAGCUUGUAGUGAUUGUUUCUAGAAACAAUCUGAGCUUCAGUCUGAACGCUGAGGGACUGUUUAAGAACCAGAGGGAGGAAAUAAGAGUGACAGAACUGGACCAGACGGAAGAAAGGAGCAGGAGCGGGGCCGUGUGGGGCUUCCACAAGUUCUUUCAGGUCCUGCAGGCAUGGAUGCAACACUGGAAUAGAAAACAGGACGGGAAGUUUCUGCUUUCCCACUGGUACAAUGUGUGCAGGCGUGGCUCCCCCUGGAGGUGGGGAUCAGUGAUAUUAAACAUGCUCCCCCAUGGCCAUCAUCACAGGUGUCGGGCCAUCGCGGAGGAGCCAGAGAACGAUCGAGAGGAAAGGAUUCUGGCAAUACUGGGGAUUAUCGGCACCGUGCUCAACCUGCUGGUAGUCAUCUUCGUCUACAUCUACACCACCUUUUAAGAUCUCAAGCUACAGGAUGCCCUCAUCUGACGGCAUGGCAAUAAAGCGGAAAAGAACCGAGGCAGGAAAAGACUGGCAUCAUUUUUCUUCACCAAAAACCAUCAAGCAGUGCCUGACCUUUUCAAUCAAUCUGGAAAAUGCAAGCAUUAAGUUCAAAGCUACACUGAGACCUUUUAGUUUCAGUUAGUCUAAAGAUAGCUUACACGUCAUUAAUUAUUUGUAUAUCUGUUCAUUAUUCACAUGUUCAUUUUGUACAGUCCUGAUUAUAAUUGCAUGUUCUCUGAUUUGUUACGUACACUAAGUAUUAUAUAUGCUAUUUCAGAUGUGUGUGACUUUCACUUACAGCUGACCUGCGGAUCCAGAGCAGAGCAACAUUAAGGUCCAGAUUUUGAGAGUCUAAAAUCUGUUUUUGAACAUGCAAAGAAUUAGUUGUUUUUUUUAUUGCAUUGUCUCUAUAUAAAGCACAACAGAGCAGAAUGCCACAACAAUGUCUUGUUCUCAGGUGUUUAGCAAGUUAGUGGGAAAGUUUACUUGAAAAGUGAAGGCAGUCGGCCUCUUUGUUGCUGUCACGAUCAUAUAAUGAGACUGAUCUCAACUGACACUUUCUACUCAAUGUGCUUUUUGCAACUAAAAACUUCAACCUGAUAAAAACAGUGUUGUGAUAGUUUUGUACAACAAAAAUGGCUUGACUGUCAGAGUAAUAUGAAAUAAGAGAAAGAUGGGGUUGGAAACAUGCUUUUAAAACAUCAUAAAAAAAAGUUUUGACUGUUGAAAUGAGCUUUUAGCUUCUUCCGCAAUGUUUUGAAAGAAAAUAUUAAACUUUAAUAAACCUAAGAAGAAGAUGUAUCCGAUGUUUCUUAUAAUUAAAGGGACAGUUCACCCAGAAAUGACAAAUCUGUCAUCGUAUAACUUCCUCGAAGCACAAAAGGAGAUAUUAGGGAGAAUGACAGACUCAGUCACUAUUCACUUUCAUUGUAUGGACAAAAGAUGCAGUGGAAAUGAAUUUUGUCUGACUUCCAUUCAGGUUAAUAUCUACUUUUGUCUUCCACUGAAGAAAGAAAGUCAUAUGGGUUUCGAUCAACAUGAGGGUGAGUAAAUGAUGACAGAAUUUUCACUUUGGGAAGAACCACACCUUUAAAAUGACCGAAAUCAAAAUGAACAAUUCCUUUUUUCCCCACUUUUUCCCCAUACUAUUAUAGUUUUUAUUAAUAUUUUGAAUCAAUUUUUAUUUUUGUUUUCCAGGUUCAAUUUAAUUUAAAGUUUUAGAGGGUUUUUUUUUUUUAUGUUUGUUUUAGUUAUUUUAGUACAUCAAGUUAAACUACAUUAACCCUUGUGUCUUUAUCAGUUUUGUUUUUUGUUUUUUGUUUUUGAUAAUUUUGCCUGUGUUAGUGCCAACUGCAUACAUUUUGGCACAGGUGUGUAUUUUUAUUGGAAUUUUACUAUUUCACCCCCAUUUCCUUUAAUAAAUCUAUUUUGCACCAGUAACUCAAAAUAGUUCCUCUCAGGACCUGAAGGACAAACAUGUCUCUAUUGAAACCCAUUAAAACUGCAUUUUUUAAUCCCAGGGCCAUUUAACUAUAAAAUGAUGUGAUCUUUGUCAAAAGGCUUUCAUUCUGUUGGCAAGGCUUCAAAAAUGUAAAUCUUUACGAUUUUUUACCAGAUGGUGCCAUUUUCUCAGGUUUGGCAUAUAAAGCAAAUACUCACUUUGUCUAUUUUUUGCUUAUUAUAGAGCCAGUUUGAUGAAUUAUGCAGCUAUAAUUGUGUGGGUGUGUUGUUAUGGAUGUCAGAGUGUGGUCUGUAUGUGUGUAAUAAAAAAAUUGUGUGUG